AUGUGUGCAUUAUGUGGGUUUGAGGGCGCACCGCUGUGUGUCACGGCUGGCCCUGGUGAAGCCAAACCUACCUUGGAAACUGGGAAUGACCACAAGUCACAAUUUUUCUCACAUCCCCAAGGUCCUCCGUGCCGUGGCCAGCUUUGCUCAGCCCUGCCUGCCUCAGUUUCCCCACCAGACCAUGCAGCAGCCUCCCUGCUUGAGCGUGAUGAUGGGGAUCAGAGUGGGUUUGUGUCCAGCACGGGGGAGAAAACGGGCCAAAUCUGGGCUCUUACCAGGAGCAACAGGACCCCAGUAAUCAGUGGGGACGCAGCGUGUCCCCCGUCACCCCCAUCCACACUUGUGGCCAUCAGCUCCCCGUGCCCAAUGCACCACGGCACCACCUCCCGCAGCCCUUGCCCGUGGCUGUCACCACCUCCGUUCACACUGGAGGACGUGCAAAGCCUUCACGAUGACUUCAACAAGAAAGCGCCAACACCUUCAGCUCUCCGUCCGCCCCACUCAGCCUUGCUGGGUGGGAGAAGUGCCCCAGGAGCAGCAAGGUCUCACCCGAGACACACCACGGGCUCCAGAGCAGCCUCCCAGCCGGGCCAUUCGCCCCAGAUAACGCUGAGAUUUCGGGAGACAGAGCGGCGACGGUUCCCGUCCACCUCCAGGCACGCAGCCCUGAUGGCCGCCCCAGCCAGGUCCACGUCGCACGGCUGUACCUCGGGUCCUGGGGACACACCGGGGGCUGGCAAUCAGAUGUUUGCUGAGCUGCUCACACACCACUUUCCAAAGCCCCUCCUGUCGCAGCCUGCUGCCUUGCCACGAGAAGCCGCGAGAAGCUGGUUCGCAUUGCCCCAUCCUCCCCCUGCCCAGCUGGAACUGGCAUUUCGGGGUGAAUCUGGCAUUUACAAUACGAGGGCUGGAGAUCAGAAAAAAAAAAAAAAUGCCCAACCUGAAGAAAUUCCCAAGUGGAUGCUGGUGGAAGGAGCAAGACGGAGGUGCUGAACCCCGUAUUAGACACUGGAGAAGCCCCUCCGUGGCGCAGGCCUCUUUCCCUGGGGUUCGGGGCCGCUCUCACCCCAAAAACACGGGCUUGUUUUGCCAUCUGCUGGUGGGAGGCCGGCAGAGGAGGUGGAGCAGGGCAGAGGGCAGCCAGGAGAUGGAGGCUGGGGGGCUCAGCACCCCUGCUGCAGCUCCAACCCCCUGCAGCUCCUACCCGGUCCCCCCCUUCCCAACGUGGAGGUCCCGGCCAUCACACGCGGGUGGCCUGGCCUGGCCUGGUUUGGAUUUUAGUGGGGUCGGGGGGCUGUAAAACCAGCCAGCGGGGCUUGGAGAGGAGCUCUCCAAAAUCCCAAACGUGCCACAAAGAGCUGGGCGCGGAGCAGAGCUCACCGCAGGUCUGGGAAGGUGGCCUACGCGCGACUGGUUGGCGUGGUGCUGGGGAGCUCAUCUCGUAAUGUUUAAUAUUUUCUGGAUGAAGCCUUUCCCGAAGGCAUUGAGCCCGAUUCCUCCUCCUAGGUUUGCUGGGGGUGACCCAAUUCCUGUGUGGGGUUCGAGGGGUGCCCGAGCUGCUCGGUCCGUGCCCAUGGCCCACACCCGAUGGGCGAUGAGCAGCGACUCCGGUGCCUUCCCCAGUCAGCUUCUGGAGGAGGUUUGGAGCGGACAAAGGUGUCAGGAGAGGGAGCCAGAGCCUCGGCUGAGAGCAGGGAGAGCAGGGAUGGGGACACGGCCCCUUCGGAGCUGUGGUCCCAGGUGCGUUUGUGGGGCAAACCCAGCAAACCGAGCCCCUCCGGGCCCUAAUUUUUGGCGACGCGUCCCAGCACGGUCAGCACAAAGGACCUGUGCCCCACGGGACAGCAGUUUUAAACCGUAUGGGCGAUUCACAGGACCCCACCAGCCCUGCAGGAUAAAGGAUGGGGAGCCUGAAUUUGGUGUCUGUGUGCCAUAUGUUCUCCCACCUCUGUCCCACCCUGGGGACCGAGCAUCCUCGGGUGCUCCAGCAUCUGAGCAAGCCUGUCCCGUGUCUUGUCUCCAGCUCAGACUCCUGAAUUAUUGACGGCUCUGAUGCAUCAGGCUAUAAUAAGCUCCCCAGGCCUUUUCCCCGUGGGCUGGAGCUGGGAACACGUUUUCUUCGUUUUUAUGUGGUUUUGCUCUGUCUUGAGCUGAUGGCUGAGGGAGGAGAGGACGGAUGGAUGGGGACCUCGGGGAGGGUCGGGGUGGCUUUGAAUGCAUGGGGUGGUUUGGCAGAGUGGCUGCCCUCAUUGCAGUCUGGUAGGGAAAGGGGUCUGGGGUUGCCCAAGGGGUCUUCAACCCAGAUUUUGUGGGGUGGAGGCCGUGCAGGGAGCCAGGAGAAGGCAAAGGGUCUUUGUGUUGUCCCCUGGGGCCUCCUCAGCCACAGGUCUGCAGGUCAGAGGGAGAAAACCACCGAGAAAAACCACUAAAGAAAAGUCAGAGGGGGAAAACCACUGAGAAAACCACCAAAAGAAAGCCAGGCUUCAUCUCAGGUGGAAAAAGAGCCGUGUUUGUAUGUGUGGGGCUGUAGAAAACGGCGGGGCGGGUGCACGUCCGGAGUUACAGGCAGCAAGGGGCAUCACCUGCGGGCAAAGAGCAGGUCGGUGGCUCUGCUUAAAGAGCUUUUCAUAAGGAGCCUGAAAAUGAUUUCAGCGACUUCCAGGAGGCCUGCGUGCACCAAGUGCUCGUUUCUUGAAACCGUUGAGUCCCACUCAAAACAGGCAUAGUAAUACUCUGGUUUUGAGGUCAGAGGCAGCAGCCCCCGAGUUUAACUCCGUAUAUUGCUCCCAGAAGACCAGACGGUCAGAGCUGCGGCAAACAGUGGCACCUGCAAACCUCCGCGGCUCCCCCAGCCCCAAUUUCAGGGGCUUCAGAGCUGGGCUGGAGAAGUUUGGUUUAAAAGGAGGGGCAGAGCAGAAGGCAGGACAGCCCUGCCCAUCUCCGCUGCUUUGCUCUCCCUUUUGAGCCACGCAGGGAGCCCUUGGUGGAAAGGUCCUGGUGCCAUCAGCUGAGAUGGGAGCCUCUCAGGGAGGACAAGGGGGUCCCAUCCCCACCAUGGGAUGCGAAAUAGAAGCAGGGAUGCUGUUAAACAAGGCAUUUCGCACGUGCAGCCCAUGGCUGGGUUUAUGGGAAGGCUUUGCUGCAGUAGCACAACAGGUUCUGCUUGAGGGACUCCCUUCCAGCUUGAGGUCCCCCUUUUCCAGCUGGUGGGAAUCCCGCUGCGUGGUCCCAGGGGGAAUGCUCCCAGCUUGCCUUUCCCCCAGCGCUGCUGAGGACCCAUCCUGCCUGGUCCUGUGCGCUCCGAGAUCCCCAGCUUGGCACUGCAGAGGCUGUCCCAGCACCCAGCCUGCCCUGCUGUGGGUGCUUGCUUCCAGAUAAUUCACUAAACAUGUAUUUAAGCACAUUCCUGGGAAAAUCACCCCCUUUUUUUUUUUUUUGAGAAACCUGUUGUAAUCAAAGCACCGACAGCUUCAGCACCAGUGUAAAGCUGCAGGCAGGCUCAAGGCUGCGUUCGUGCUCCGCACCCAGCCACCUCUUCAGCUGUGGGUGUGGAUUGGGCAGGAUGAGCCCCACCGACCCCCAAAAUCCCCUGUACAUGUGCUCACAGAGCUGGGGGUGCCAGCAGGGCAGAGACAACCCAGAAGUGCCACACGGUGCCCCACACCAUCAAGGUGGGACGCUUGAUGGCCCAUCGGCACUGAUUUAGGUGUGCUGCCUCCUCCCACGGGGCAGGGAAAGGGGCUGGACAACCUCUCAGGGUCCUUCCCAGCUCCAUUUAUCUGCGUUCCUACGGGCUAACCCACGGACCGACCUUCCCUUUCUCCCAGUAAUGCAAAAAUGCAGAGAUGAGCGGAUAAGCAGGGAGAGGAGGGAUUAAGUUCAGGGCACGGGUCAUGGGAGCCGGUUAUAAAUAAACAGAACUCGUUUAAAAGAUGAUAUAUGCUG
ensembl:lncRNA